AACGCACAUUGCGCCCCUUGGUAUUCCGGGGGGCAUGCCUGUUCGAGCGUCAUUUGUACCCUCAAGCAUUGCUUGGUGUUGGGCGUCUUGUCUUUGCUCCGCCAAAGACUCGCCUUAAAACGAUUGGCAGCCGGCCUACUGGUUUCGCAGCGCAGCACAUUUUUGCGCUUGCAAUCAGCAAAAGAGGACGGCACUCCAUCAAGACUCCUUCUCACGGUUGACCUCGGAUCAGGUAGGGAUACCCGCUGAACUUAA
rnacentral:misc_RNA from 1 species